AAAGGUUUAAUAUCUUAUUUUCCAAAACCCCGUGACAGAGUCUCAUUUCCCUCCUUUAUUCUCAUUUUCCCCUCUUCCAUGAAACCCUGCAACAAAAAUGGAGCAUCACCCUAACAUCUCGAAAUCCAAUUCCUCUCUCUCUUCGACUUCUCAACCUCUCUUGAAACCCUAACGCUAAACCUCAACCGAUUUCUCCGUGCUCGUGGCUUCGAUUCAACAAAUCAGGGACAGGAAGCUCGAGCGAAACGGUGAUGCUUUCAGAUUUGCAAGAGGAAAGACAUGCAAGAUGGAUUACUGAAAUCUGCCUUAGUGACCAAAGAACUUCAAGAAAAGUGAUUGCACUGCCAUUUGUUCCCUGGGAUUUUGAACAACAUGCUCUGGAGUCUGGACAAGCUUCUUGUGAUGGCUUAUGAGAAAUACAAGGUUCCUUGAGAAUGGUUCAAGCUGUUGUUCUUCCUCACAUGGCAACUAGGAAACAAGGAAAGAUUGUGAACAUUGGUAGUAAUUCUGCCCUGGGUUCUGGACCUUGGUCAGGCACUUACAGUAAAGAUGCUCUUCAUGCUUUGACAGAUACAUUAAGGUGUUGAUCAGUCUAUUGGUAAAGGAAGAACAUAAUAGUAGCUGAUUAAGACGCAAGAUCCAAACAAGCUGGUUUGAACCAAGGUGCUAAAUUAAUGGAGUUCAAAGGGAAAACAAUGUGGCAGCAUGCAUGGUGAAUUCAAUCAGCUUCUUGAUUCAUUAAAGACUAGUUACAUGCAAAGGAGAAUUCCACUAACAACUAGGUGGCUUGCUUCGACACAAAUUGGCUCGAGGUGAUAAGAGAAGAAUAUCAAUUUCGACAGCAGAGACGAAAUGCAAGUGUUGGAAGCAAAGUGGAACUUACUAGAAGAAGCAGUUAGUGGAAAUUACUAGUGAGCUUAAGCAGUUUAUUUUAAAUAAACACAUGUCUAUUAGUGGGCAAGUGGCUAUUGAAGUGGAGUAGGGGAGAACGUGGCAGUUACUUACUGAAGAUGCAACAUGAACAUGGCUUGGAAAAUGGAAGUGGCUGCAAGUUAUUAUGUUUGUACUUAUGUCAAGUGUAUGACUCUAGUGUAGGGAAUUAUUUUCUAAGAUUUAAUCUCUACCGUAGGAUCUAGUAGCAGUUUCAUUCCAAGUUCUAUAAGUAGCAAAUCUGAUUGUAAAUGUAGGCAGACUCACUCAAUUACUCAAAGCUAUCCAUGGAUGCCUCAAAGUCUCAUGUGACAAAUGGCUACAAAGAGACUAAGAGUGUGCUGUGAUUCUCACCUUUUAUGUUCAAUGCAAUGUUAUUUCCUUUGCCAUUUUUAUUUCCUU